UACGUAGGGGGCUAGCGUUGUCCGGAAUCAUUGGGCGUAAAGAGCGUGUAGGCGGCUCGGUAAGUCCGCUGUGAAAGUCGGGGGCUCAACCCUCGAAUGCCGGUGGAUACUGUCGAGCUAGAGUGCGGAAGAGGCGAGUGGAAUUCCUGGUGUAGCGGUGAAAUGCGCAGAUAUCAGGAGGAACACCGAUUGCGAAGGCAGCUCGCUGGGACGUUACUGACGCUGAGGAGCGAAAGCGUGGGGAGCGAACAGG
rnacentral:rRNA from 1 species